rnacentral:rRNA from 1 species
UACGUAGGGUGCGAGCGUUAAUCGGAAUUACUGGGCGUAAAGCGUGCGCAGGCGGUGAUGUAAGACAGAUGUGAAAUCCCCGGGCUCAACCUGGGACCUGCAUUUGUGACUGCAUCGCUAGAGUACGGUAGAGGGGGAUGGAAUUCCGCGUGUAGCAGUGAAAUGCGUAGAUAUGCGGAGGAACACCGAUGGCGAAGGCAAUCCCCUGGACCUGUACUGACGCUCAUGCACGAAAGCGUG